GAAAAUGUAGAAAAUUCACUUGUAUCCAGUUAGUGCGCUUUUGUCAACAGUGAAACAACAUGUCUUAGCUGCAUUGCUUAUCAGAUCAAUAUAAGAAGAAAAAUACAAUAUUAAGAACAGUUUGCAUUAAAAACUAUUAACUACAAAUUAAAUAGCAGGAGUACAGAAACAAAAAUUACUCCUACUACGCAUAAUUGCAGUAAGAAAUACAUAAAUACAUCAUUUUGAGAUUAAGAACCACCGAGGCGAAAAUCCAGCUGCUCCGAUAACACCACCUUAUUUCUUAAAAAAAAUAACAACCAACUUUGACAAUUUUUUGUAUAUAAAAUCAACCAAUAUUAAUUUUUUGAAGUCCAUGCACUGACUACAUGUUACCUUACUUUACGUCAGCACGAUAUUCAGCUUCAUUACUGGACUGGCCCGGUAGACAUGGGAAUGGAACGAAAUGUGAUGUUUUAACAAACAUAAACAACAAUAAAUGUGCAUACACAUGCAAGUAUGAAUCAGCAACCCUGUCUUGUGCUCAGUGUGACCGCGGGCUUGUAAAAAAUUGUAGCAGAGCAGAGACUUAAAAUGUAUCAAAUGUAUCACUUUUUUAUCUUAAGCAUCAAAGUAUCAAUAUGGAAUAAAACCAAUAAUUUUUAUGAAAAACCAUU